CUACGGAGGGGGCUAGCGUUGUUCGGAAUUACUGGGCGUAAAGCGCGCGUAGGCGGAUCGUUAAGUCAGGGGUGAAAGCCCGGGGCUCAACCCCGGAACUGCCCUUGAUACUGGCGAUCUAGAGUCCGGAAGAGGUGGGCGGAAUUCCCGGUGUAGAGGUGAAAUUCGUAGAUAUCGGGAGGAACACCAGUGGCGAAGGCGGCUCACUGGUCCGGCACUGACGCUGAGACGCGAAAGCGUGGGGAGCAAACAGGAUUAGAAACCCCAGUAGUCC
rnacentral:rRNA from 1 species